rnacentral:rRNA from 1 species
CGGCGAGUGAAGAGGAAGAGCUCAAAGUUGGAACCUGUUUGGCCUAGCUAAACCGGAUUGUAGACUGUAGAAGUGUUUUCCAGGCAAGCCGAGUAAAUAAGUCCUUUGGAACAGGGCAUCAUAGAGGGUGAGAAUCCCGUCUUUGGCUUGAGCAUUUGCCUUUUGUGAUACGCUUUCAAAGAGUCAGGUUGUUUGGGAAUGCAGCCUAAAUUGGGUGGUAAAUCUCACCUAAAGCUAAAUAUUGGCGAGAAACCGAUAGCGAACAAGUACCGUGAGGGAAAGAUGAAAAGAACUUUGAAAAGAGAGUUAAACAGUAUGUGAAAUUGUUAAAAGGGAACCGUUUGGAGCCAGACUGGCUUGUCUGUAAUCAAUCUAGGCUUCGGCCUGGAUGCACUUGCAGGCUAUGCCUGCCAACGACAAUUUGACUUGAGGGAAAAAACUAGGGGAAAUGUGGCCCACUUGUGGGUGUUAUAGUCCCUUAGAAAAUACCUUGGGUUGGAUUGAGGAACGCAGCGAAUGCUUAUUGGCGAGUUUUCCAGGAAGGUUUUCUGAGGUACUACGGUAUCAAGGUUGAUCUUUUUGGUUAUACUUCUAUUCGCUUAGGUUGUUGGCUNNNUGACUCUNAAUGACCCNUCUUNANNNNACNNGACCANNA